rnacentral:tRNA from 1 species
CGGGGCGUAGCGCAGUCUGGUAGCGCAUCUGCCUGGGGGCAGAGGGUCAUCGGUUCAAAUCCGGUCGUCCCGACCA